rnacentral:lncRNA from 1 species
AUCGUUUGUGAUAGCAGUGUCAAAUUUGUGUGCAAAAAUGAAAGGAGAAAUGUAGAAUAAUUGAAGAUGCACAAUGAAAAUGAUGACUACUUCAUUAUCUGUUCAGUUCAGCGACUGAAAUGUGCAAUACUGAGAGUCAGAUCAUAUGGCGCAACAUACAGAGAUGCGGUGAUCAGACAAGGCUGCAUUUUCUCAUUCACUCCAAGCCCCAGUUCUCUUCAUUCAGGGUCACAGUGAAGAGGACACCGCUCCUGGAUUGUUGUUCUGCAGCAUUUUAACACUGACGACAGUCCAAAAAGCCUACAAGACAAUCUCUCCUCCUCAAAAUUAAGACGCUUCCAGGUAUGCCUUCACAGGACAGAUCUUUCCAGAGAGAAUGCCUCUUUGUGGUUUAAUGGGAGCAGUCGGGGAUGCAACAAAGGACUUUCCUCCCACUUUUAGAGAGAACUUUCAUCAAAACGUAACCUUAAGAAAACAGCCAGAGAACUGCCUACCAUCUCCUUCCUUCAAUCACACGAUUGCAGUGGAAACAUACAUCACCAAACAGCCGAAGAGAAAGGAGAAAGAAAGAAUUUUUAAGGGAUGCCAGCAAUACCUCAAUCACCUGCCCUUCAUCGCUGAGAAAUUUAGAAUCCACCUGCAAUUAGCAGAUGCCGUACAACUCCCAUAUGUAAUCCUCCUUUAUUAAUCCAAGCAAAGAUGUGUACGUGACACCUAGCAUUUGGCUCCCAAAGAAGAAAGGUCUAUCCAUUCUGGUGCUGGACUGCACAACCACGGGAGUCUGCAGGGAAAUGGGACUGCACUGCUGAUGGUCUCCCAGUGUCUUGGAGAAGUGCGAGUGAUGAUAGCAUUCACUCCAUUACUGCCCCUGAUUCUCGCGUCCUAGUUGCCGCUUCCCUGGGCAGCCUGUUCCAGUGCCUGACCACUCCCUCUGAGAAGAAUUAUUUCCUAACAUCCAACCUGAACCUCCCCUGGCACAACUUGAGGCCAUUCCCUCUAGUCCUAUAGAAGAGGAAUUGUCUUGGGACGCACAUAGGUAGAUUGAUCCAAAAUUAAUGCCUCCUACUUAUUAUCAUGGGAGCUACAACUGCUACAAAGGGCACAAUAAUGCUGUUUAAGAAAGCACAUUCUCCGCUGCAAAAUGCUUUUUCAGUGUAGUCAUCACCACUAGCUGUGCAUUUUCUCCAGCAAUGAACAAGAACCUGAGUGCUGCGCUCAUAACAGCCUGCACCAGCGGAGGUGUCCCAGUGUCACUGUCACCACUGCUGAAAUGCACCGUGCACCAUCUCACUGAGCUCACAACCACUGCUUGGACUCCAUAAACGUUCAGCAAAGAUUGAUGAAGGUCAGUGGGUGUCGUCAUUUUCACCUGGAGGAAUUCAGUGACAGCUUGAUGGUUGGCUCGAUGUGCACUUCCAUGUCAGACACCGUUGUGUCACGCUGCCUGACUGCUGCCAGCUGUUGCACGGCAACAACGUGUAAUGGGAUAUGGGUGAGAAGGUUCAACCUCUACUGCCAUGCCACCAACACCCGCCUCUGGUGUUUUGGGCCAACAUAUAAAAUAGGGGGCAUUGCUUCUGGAGCAGCCCUCAUAAGAUGUAUAAUACAGGUAAUGUAUAGAAGUAACCAAGCUUUUUUUAUUUUU